UACAGAGGUCUCAAGCGUUGUUCGGAUUUACUGGGCGUAAAGGGUGCGUAGGUGGCGGGGUUAGUCAGGCGUGAAAUCUCGGAGCUCAACUCCGAAACUGCACUUGAUACUGCCUUGCUAGAGUACUGGAGAGGAGAUUGGAAUUUACGGUGUAGCAGUGAAAUGCGUAGAUAUCGUAAGGAAGACCAGUGGCGAAGGCGAAUCUCUGGACAGUUACUGACACUGAGGCACGAAGGCCAGGGGAGCAAACGGG
rnacentral:rRNA from 1 species